rnacentral:rRNA from 1 species
CCUACGGGCGGCAGCAGUGAGGAAUAUUGGUCAAUGGACGAGAGUCUGAACCAGCCAUGCAGCGUGCAGGAAGACUGCCCUAUGGGUUGUAAACUUCUUUUAUACAGGAGUAAACCGUUCUACGUGUGUGAAUCUGUAAGUACCAUACGAAUAAGGAUCGGCUAACUCCGUGCCAGCAGCCGCGGUAAUACGGAGGAUCCGAGCGUUAUCCGGAUUUAUUGGGUUUAAAGGGAGCGUAGGCGGAUUGUUAAGUCAGUGGUGAAAGGUCGCAGCUCAACCGUAGAAUUGCAUUUGAUACUGGUAGUCGUGAGAGUAGUAGAGGUGGGCGGAAUUCGUGGUGUAGCGGUGAAAUGAUUAGAUAGCACGAAGAACUCCGAUUGCGAAGGCAGUUCACUAGACUGCAACUGACACUGAGGCUCGAAAGUGUGGGUAUCAAACAGGAUUAGAUACCCCAGUAGUC